GCCUGGGUGGCUCAGUGGGUUAAGCGUCCGACUUGGGCUCAGGUCAUGAUCUCGCGGUUCGUGGGUUCGAGCCCCGCGUCAGGCU
rnacentral:tRNA from 1 species